CAUAAAGUUUAACGGCCGCGGUAUUUUGACCGUGCCCAUUUAGCGCAAUCACUUGUCCUUUAAAUGAGGACCUGUAUGCAUGGCAUAACGAGGGCUUAGCUGUCUCCCCUAUCCAGUCAAUGAAAUUGAUCUUCCCGUGCAGAAGCGGGGCUGAUCUCAUAAGACGAGAAGACCCUAUGGAGCUUUAGACAAUCAGACGACCCCUUUAAAACAGCUUAGCACAAUAAAGCUGAUCCCCUUGGCCGGACCCCGUCUUAUGUCUUUGGUUGGGGCGACCGUGGGGAAAAGAAAAUCCCCCAUGAGGACCAAAAACCACCACUUUUAUAGCCGAGAGCCUACCACUCAAAGCAUCAGAACCUCUGACCCAAAUGAUCCGGCCCACCGGCCGAUCAACGAACCGAGUUACCCUAGGGAUAACAGCGCAAUCCCCUCCCAGAGCCCAUAUCGACGAGGGGGUUUACGACCUCGAUGUUGGAUCAGGACAUCCUAAUGGUGCAGCCGCUAUUAAGGGUUCGUUUGUUCAACGAUUAACAGUCCUACGUGAUCUGAGUUCAGACCG
rnacentral:rRNA from 1 species